rnacentral:rRNA from 1 species
GAUGAACGCUAGCUACAGGCUUAACACAUGCAAGUCGAGGGGUAACGAGAGGGAAGCUUGCUUUCCUUGUCGACGACCGGCGGAUGGGUGAGUAACGCGUAUCCAACCUGCCCUUCAGUAAGGGAUAGCCUUUCGAAAGAAAGAAUAAUACCUUAUGUGAUCGUCUGAUGACAUCAGACGACGAUGAAAGAUUUAUCGCUGAAGGAUGGGGAUGCGUCCCAUUAGGCAGGAGGCGGGGUAACGGCCCACCUAACCUAGGAUGGGUAGGGGUUCUGGGAGGAAGGUCCCCCACAUUGGAACUGAGACACGGUCCAAACUCCUACGGGAGGCAGCAGUGAGGAAUAUUGGUCAAUGGCCGUAAGGCUGAACCAGCCAAGUAGCGUGCAGGAUGACGGCCCUAUGGGUUGUAGACUGCUUUUAAACGGGGAUAAAGUGAGCCACGUGUGGUUUAUUGCAGGUACCGUUUGAAUAAGGACCGGCUAAUUCCGUGCCAGCCGCCGCCGUAA